rnacentral:rRNA from 1 species
AGAGCGAACGCUGGCGGCGUGCUUAACACAUGCAAGUCGAGUGCGCGCCUGUAGCAAUACAGGUGGCGCACGGCGCACGGGUGCGUAACACGUGGGUAAUCUGCCCUUCGAAGGGGAAUAACUCGCCGAAAGGCGAGCUAAUUCCGCAUAACAUUCCGAGGACUUUGGUUUUCGGAUUCAAAGGCGUAAGUCGUCGGAGGAGGAGCCCGCGCACGAUUAGCUAGUUGGUGAGGUAAUGGCUCACCAAGGCUAUGAUCGUUAG